GAGAAAGGAAGGUGAAAGGUAUUUUAGUUUGUUGUUUGUUCAAUUCAACAGCAAUUCCUUUUCAUUUAGCUGAUUGAUAAGUAGUCCUCUCUGCGCUGUGUGAAAAAUAACACCUUUUGCUGUGGUUAUUUAUUAUGUAGAUCCUGUUUUUUUUACCUACUCUGUGGGUUCCUGAAAGGUAUAUCGUUGUAGUUGGUCUUGGAAGGAAGAUUAUUUUAUUGAAAGCUCCAUCAUAACUCUUAUAUGCCAUUAACAUAAAAAGUGAACAAAAUUUGUGUUGAGAGAACAACAAUUAAACACGACCAUGGAUUAUAUAAAAGGACAAAUCACGAGUGUUUUAAGAAAAAUGUGUCAUAAUUUUUUUAUAUCAACUAAAUACAAGAUAAAAGAUAGAUUUUUAAAUGUAUGAAAUAACAACGUUAGUAGAAGGUACCUUAGAAAUUCAAAUUUAACUCAAAAACUCAAAGUAGGUACAUACUUACAAUAAAACUUAUCGGAAGUUUAUUAUUUAGAAUUAAUUUCAUCUUGACUUACCUGCAAAGAAAAAUAAGGAAAUAAAUUAGAAGUCUUGAAUACAAACAAAACUAAAAAAUAAAAAAAAAAAAAUGUCUUGUUUUGUGAUUCUUAAAAAAAAAAUAUGUUAAAAUAAUAUCAAGCAAUAUUCAACCAUCGCAGUUAAAGGCAUUAUCUAAACGAAUUUGAAUUAAUAAAGAAGUUCAGGUAGGAUUUUCGGUACGAAAAAAAUAAAGUCGGAAGACAAAGGUUAUGGUCAGUCAACGGAGGUCUUGUAACUUGCGUGUUAUUAGCAGGAAGAAUGGAGAGGGCCUACAAUUACCACCGAGUCCGAACGACUGAGGCUUUAGGUAAUGGAUCAAGAAGCUGUAAGAAAAUCCGGAUGCAGUC